rnacentral:rRNA from 1 species
AUUGAACGCUGGCGGCAGGCCUAACACAUGCAAGUCGAGCGGAGCGGCGGACGGGUGAGUAAUGCCUAGGAAUCUGCCUGGUAGUGGGGGAUAACGUCCGGAAACGGGCGCUAAUACCGCAUACUAUCAGAUGAGCCUAGGUCGGGUUAGCUGGUUGGUGGGGUAAAGGCCUACCAAGGCGACGAUCCGUAACUGGUCUGAGAGGAGGAUCAGUCACACUGUGACUGAGAGACGGUCCAAACGCCUACGGGAGGCAGCAGUGGGGAAUAUUGGACAAGGGGCGGAAGACUGAUCCAGCCGUGCCGCGUGUGUGAAGAAGGUCUUCGGAUUGUAAAACGCUUUAAGUUGGGAGGCGUUACCAACAGAAUAAGCAACGGCUAACUACGUGCCAGCAGCCGCGGUAAUUC